AUGGCGCAGGUCACCUGGUCAGCGAUUCACGCGCCCAGGUUGGAGCUCACGCUGGACACCUCGGAGUGGUCGGCUGACCUUUGCUUCAUGCGCCGCUCACAGUCCAUGGAAGAUUUGGAGAGGCGCCUCCGGUUUGCCAUGGUCGCAUACAUCGCCGGUGCCAGUCGCGACAUCUCGCCGGAGUUCGUUCUAGAGGCUCUUCGCGUCAAGGCGGGUAUCACCCAGGAGUGGGUCUCUGGCAUUCGUUACAGACCAGAAGACUUCCUUGUUGUGUUUGGCAGAGAAGAGCAUCGCAGCAGAGUCAGUGCAAUUCCGGUGUUCGAGCACAAUGGCAUUCGCCUCUUCUUCCAGCCUUGGAACAGGCAGGCCCAAGUAGUUCACUCUCUGUUGAGAUUCAAGGUCCUGAUGGAGAUAGAAGCACGAAGAGCCUGGCAGUUUGGCGUUCCGGACGUCAGAGGGCAGUCUGCUGGUGACACCGGUGGCGGUGAUCGCUGGAGUAGGCAGCGCGGAGGCUCCAUGGCACUCCCGUCUUGGAAGUUGCCACCCAUGGUCCCUCAUGCUGCCAUUCUGGGCAGCGGCCCCGCUCUGCCAGUUCGUGACUGUAUCUCCGUCAGAGUUUCUGCUUUUGACCGCCUGGAUGGACCCGCCAUUGCCGCCCGUGAGUGUUCGAAUCCGAGGCACUCCUCCCUGUCACCAACUGAUGUUGUGCGCCCAGCGAGGGAUGAUCAGGUUGUUGUGGUGCCCACCCACAAGCCUUCUACAUGUUCACAGGUGGCCACGUGCCUAGCGACUGAGAGCAACCCCACCAUCCCCACUCCGGUGCUGGUGGAAGAGCCGUCUGGCAAUCAACUGCGGGAAGAUGAGGAUGGACUGCCCAACUACUAUACGUCCCCACCUGGGUUGGACCUGCCACGGACAGUUCUUGUCUCCCAUGCGGUCCCGGAGACAACACAUGCGGUUUUGAUGGUCGCUGAUGGCGGCCAGCUUGCAAACCAGGAGACGGGAAGCCCAGUGAGGAUUCUCAAACGCGCGAGUUGCGAAGAUGAAGACAAGGAGGGCCUCGGCCCCUCUGUGGUGGACCCCACCGAACAGCACUGCAUGGAAGGGGAGCUCAGUCCGGUGGAUGGGACGGUCAGGUGCAUGGAGUUCGCUGCUCCCAUGCAGUGCGAAGGCUUGGCGGGGCUGGUGGUGCCGGUAGCGGACCAGUUCAAGACGCUGGCAAUAGGAGGAGAUGAAGAGGAGGUCAAGCUUCAGGCGCAACAGAGGCAAGACACCCAGAGCGCCAUGGCCGAGGCUGCAAUACAAGGCAUGCCAGUGAGGGAUGCGGCUCCAUAA
rnacentral:rRNA from 1 species